rnacentral:rRNA from 1 species
AACGAACGCUGGCGGCAUGCCUAACACAUGCAAGUCGAACGGGAUCCUAGCUUGCUAGGUGAGAGUGGCGGACGGGUGAGUAACACGUGGGAAUCUGCCUUUUGGUUCGGGAUAACCGCGGGAAACUGCGGCUAAUACCGAAUGCCCUCGAGAGAGGAAAGAUUUAUCGCCAGAAGAGGAGCCCGCGUCCGAUUAGGUAGUUGGUGGGGUAAAGGCCUACCAAGCCGACGAUCGGUAGCUGGUCUGAGAGGAUGAUCAGCCACACUGGGACUGAGAUACGGCCCAGACUCCUACGGGAGGCAGCAGUGGGGAAUAUUGGACAAUGGGGGCGAAACCCCUGAUCCAGCAAUGCGCGUGAGUGAUGAAGGCC